rnacentral:ncRNA from 2 species
UAUCCGCCAACUGGAGAGCGGUUAGACGACUAACCCACCGAAGGAGCAAGUAGCCUUAGCUAUCAAAACUCUCAGGUACCAAGAACAGAGGGAGUGGC